AGCGUUAAGUCAAGCGUGGGUUUGCUGCUUCGAGACAAUGGAGUUGGACCUGGUUUACUGCUUUCCGGACCCAUUUACAGUUUUCAGGCACUGACGUCUACAUGAAGAGGCGUUUGGUAUGGAGAAGUGUGGUUCCAACUAAAACACUGUUAGUAACUCCCAUCAAUAACAUCAAGUGACCUUGGCCCGGCAGAUGUAACAGCUGCUACUGAUUUCACUUCAAGUGCUGCCAUCUGGUGGUAAUGGUUCUGCUUGAAAUGGCAUGAAAAUGCUCCCAGAAGACAUUUUUUCAGCAUUGUUUGAAUCUCAACUUCACAGUUCUGUCAAUGUAACACCCUUCACUAGAAUUUUGAUGACUGGAUACUGGACUUGAUAAAAUUGUUUCAGACGUGCUACUGAAGUGAAUGCCAUCAGCCUUAAGUUAUGACACAACUUGUCAGGACUUUUGGAGGUCUCAGUACUUCUUAUACUGCUAAGAUCAUUACAAGAGAGAAGGAGAGAGAGAGAAAGAGAGGGGCACAGACACACAAGUUAUUGAACAAUUUAUUAAGAUGCCAGCAAGUGCUGAAUCAAGACAGUCAUAAGACAUCCAGGAUUCAAGGAACUUCACCUAUGGUUACUGAAUGCACUCAGCACUAUUCAUUGUUUUUAACAAGAAGUUCAAAGGAUUGUAGAUCUCUUGUGGUUCAACUAAGUGAUUCCUUUCCCUACCUUAUGGUUGACUAGAUAAUAAAAUCAAUGCAA